CAGUGUGUUUCGACACACUAUCAUUAACUGAAUCCAUAGGUUAAUGAGGCGAACCGGGGGAACUGAAACAUCUAAGUACCCCGAGGAAAAGAAAUCAACCGAGAUUCCCCCAGUAGCGGCGAGCGAACGGGGAGCAGCCCAGAGCCUGAAUCAGUAUGUGUGUUAGUGGAAGCGUCUGGAAAGGCGCGCGAUACAGGGUGACAGCCCCGUACACAAAAAUGCACAUGCUGUGAGCUCGAUGAGUAGGGCGGGACACGUGGUAUCCUGUCUGAAUAUGGGGGGACCAUCCUCCAAGGCUAAAUACUCCUGACUGACCGAUAGUGAACCAGUACCGUGAGGGAAAGGCGAAAAGAACCCCGGCGAGGGGAGUGAAAAAGAACCUGAAACCGUGUACGUACAAGCAGUGGGAGCACGCUUAGGCGUGUGACUGCGUACCUUUUGUAUAAUGGGUCAGCGACUUAUAUUCUGUAGCAAGGUUAACCGAAUAGGGGAGCCGAAGGGAAACCGAGUCUUAACUGGGCGUUAAGUUGCAGGGUAUAGACCCGAAACCCGGUGAUCUAGCCAUGGGCAGGUUGAAGGUUGGGUAACACUAACUGGAGGACCGAACCGACUAAUGUUGAAAAAUUAGCGGAUGACUUGUGGCUGGGGGUGAAAGGCCAAUCAAACCGGGAGAUAGCUGGUUCUCCCCGAAAGCUAUUUAGGUAGCGCCUCGUGAAUUCAUCUCCGGGGGUAGAGCACUGUUUCGGCAAGGGGGUCAUCCCGACUUACCAACCCGAUGCAAACUGCGAAUACCGGAGAAUGUUAUCACGGGAGACACACGGCGGGUGCUAACGUCCGUCGUGAAGAGGGAAACAACCCAGACCGCCAGCUAAGGUCCCAAAGUCAUGGUUAAGUGGGAAACGAUGUGGGAAGGCCCAGACAGCCAGGAUGUUGGCUUAGAAGCAGCCAUCAUUUAAAGAAAGCGUAAUAGCUCACUGGUCGAGUCGGCCUGCGCGGAAGAUGUAACGGGGCUAAACCAUGCAC
rnacentral:rRNA from 1 species